UACGUAGGGGGCAAGCGUUGUCCGGAUUUAUUGGGCGUAAAGAGCGUGUAGGCGGCUUUACAGGUCCGUUGUGAAAACUCGAGGCUCAACCUCGAGACGCCGGUGGAAACCGUAAGGCUAGAGUCCGGAAGAGGAGAGUGGAAUUCCUGGUGUAGCGGUGAAAUGCGCAGAUAUCAGGAGGAACACCCGUGGCGAAAGCGGCUCUCUGGGACGGUACUGACGCUGAGACGCGAAAGCCGUGGGGAGCAAAGCAGG
rnacentral:rRNA from 1 species